rnacentral:rRNA from 1 species
GAUUAACGCUGGCGGCGUGCCUAACACAUGCAAGUCGAGCGGCAGCGAGUUUUACACUGAAUUCUGGAAGCUUCUAGUUGAAAGAGAAGAUUUAUUCAAGAAUUUUGUGUAAAAUGUCGGCGAGCGGCGGACGGCUGAGUAACGCGUGGGAACGUACCCCAAAGUGAGGGAUAACGCAUCGAAAGGUGUGCUAAUACCGCAUAUGGUCUUCGGAUUAAAGCCUUCGGGCGCUUUGGGAACGGCCUGCGUAAGAUUAGAUAGUUGGUGGGUAAUGGCCUACCAAGUCGACGAUCUUUAACUGGUUUGAGAGGAUGAUCAGUCAGACUGGAACUGAGACACGGUCCAGACUCCUACGGGAGGCAGCAGUGAGGAAUCUUCCACAAUGGGCGAAAGCCUGAUGGAGCAACGCCGCGUGCAGGAUGAAGGCCUUCGGGUUGUAAACUGCUUUUAUAAGUGAGGAUUAUGACAGUAACUUAUGAAUAAGGAUCGGCUAACUACGUG